GAUAGAUAACCUUUUAAAAUCUUUUUGAAAGCAACUAUCUACAACUAGUUAAAAACAAAAUGUCCAGUCUUUUUGCAUGGUUGUAAUCUGACACUUUGUGGGCUGAGGUUUUGGCAGGCAGACCAGAUUAGAAGAUAGAAAACUGCGUGUCCGAGCCUUUGUCCACCUUGUACGUGCACGAUCCUCUGCUCUGCUGACCUACCAGUAUCAAGACGUUGCAGCUUUAGGUGAACAUGAACAUCCUGCAAGUCCUGGGCAUCCUACAACUGGCUGUCCCUGCAUUUACAUUCACACAGCCAGUCCAUGACUACUGGGGAGAGUUCGGGGCCUAUGGUCCCUGCAGCCGGACCUGCGGCACCGGUGUGGCAAUGAGA